rnacentral:rRNA from 1 species
GAUUAACGCUGGCGGCGUGCCUAACACAUGCAAGUCGAGCGGCAGCGAGUUUUACACUGAAUUCUGGAAGCUUCUAGUUGAAAGAGAAGAUUUAUUCAAGAAUUUUGUGUAAAAUGUCGGCGAGCGGCGGACGGCUGAGUAACGCGUGGGAACGUACCCCAAAGUGAGGGAUAACGCAUCGAAAGGUGUGCUAAUACCGCAUAUGGUCUUCGGAUUAAAGCCUUCGGGCGCUUUGGGAACGGCCUGCGUAAGAUUAGAUAGUUGGUGGGGUAAUGGCCUACCAAGGCGACGAUGUUUAACUGGGUUGAGAGGAUGGUCAGUCAGACUGGAACUGAGACACGGUCCAGACUCCUACGGGAGGCAGCAGUGAGGAAUCUUCCACAAUGGGCGAAAGCCUGAUGGAGCAACGCCGCGUGCAGGAUGAAGGCCUUCGGGUUGUAAACUGCUUUUAUAAGUGAGGAUUAUGACAGUAACUUAUGAAUAAGGAUCGGCUAACUACGUG